rnacentral:rRNA from 1 species
GAUGAACGCUGGCGGCGUGCCUAAUACAUGCAAGUCGAGCGAAUGGAUUAAGAGCUUGCUCUUAUGAAGUUAGCGGCGGACGGGUGAGUAACACGUGGGUAACCUGCCCAUAAGACUGGGAUAACUCCGGGAAACCGGGGCUAAUACCGGAUAACAUUUUGAACUGCAUGGUUCGAAAUUGAAAGGCGGCUUCGGCUGUCACUUAUGGAUGGACCAGCGUCGCAUUAGCUAGUUGGCGAGGUAACGGCUCACCAAGGCAACGAUGCGUAGCCGACCUGAGAGGGGGAUCGGCCACACUGGGACUGAGACACGGCCCAGACUCCUACGGGAGGCAGCAGUAGGGAAUCUUCCGCAAUGGACGAAAGUCUGACGGAGCAACGCCGCGUGAGUGAUGAAGGCUUUCGGGUCGUAAACUCUGUUGUUAGGGAAGAACAAGUGCUAGUUGAAUAAGCUGGCACCUUGACGGUACCUAACCAGAAAGCCACGGCUAACUACGUGCCAGCCGCCGCCGUAA